CGCGUAGGCGGUUUACACAGUCAGAUGUGAAAUUCCAGGGCUUAACCUUGGGGCUGCAUUUGAUACGUGUAGACUAGAGUGUGAGAGAGGGUUGUGGAAUUCCCAGUGUAGAGGUGAAAUUCGUAGAUAUUGGGAAGAACACCGGUGGCGAAGGCGGCUUUCUGGUCUGUAACUGACGCUGAGGCGCGAAAGCGUGGGGAGCAAACAGGAUUAGAUACCCCUGUA
rnacentral:rRNA from 1 species